AGCUCCAAUAGCGUAUAUUAAAGUUGUUGCAGUUAAAAAGCUCGUAGUUGGAUUUCUGGUAGGAGCGACCGUGCCGAACUUGAUUGUUCGUGUAUUGUGUUGUCUUCAGCCAUCCUCGUGGAGAACUUUUCUAACAUUAACUUGUUGGGAUUGGGACCCGCGUCGUUUACUGUGAAAAAUUAGAGUGUUUAAAGCAGGCAUUAGCUUGAAUACAUUAGCAUGGAAUAAUAAGAUAGGACUUUGGUACUAUUUUGUUGGUUUGCAUACCAAAUUAAUGAUCAACAGGAACAGUUUGAGGAUAUUCGUAUGAACAUGUCAGAGGUGAAAUUCUUGGAUUUUGAUCAGACGAACUACUGCGAAAGCAUUUAUCAAGGAUGUUUUCA
rnacentral:rRNA from 1 species